UACAGAGGUCUCAAGCGUUGUUCGGAUUCAUUGGGCGUAAAGGGUGCGUAGGCGGCGCGGUAAGUCGGGUGUGAAAUCUCGGGGCUUAACUCCGAAACUGCAUUCGAUAUUGCCGUGCUUGAGGACUGGAGAGGAGACUGGAAUUUACGGUGUAGCGGUGAAAUGCGUAGAUAUCUGGAGGAACACCGGUGGCGAAGGCGGCAUCCUGGACCGGUAUUGACGCUGAGGCGCGAAAGCCAGGGGAGCAAACGGG
rnacentral:rRNA from 1 species